ACCGCUCCCCCCAUCCCGUCACCUGCGAGCACGUCCAGGUUUCUUGUCGCUACUGGAGACGUAGUGGAUCUUCGAUUUCGCUGCAUGAUUCAUCGAUUCCGGUUUCUGUAAGGAUGUCAUUCGAUUGGAAAAUGUGUAAUUUCGUGUUUUUGUCGAUUUCCUCGAUCUUUUAUGGUAUUGUUGGGUGACUUCGGCUGUUUGAGAUCUCUGAUCUUCGGAAAGUUUCGACCUUUUCAGACCGUUCCCAUGUGAUCUCCGGUAGUCUCCUCCUCUAUCCCAGCUCUUUUGUCGUUCAUCUUCGCACACAGAAGAAUCUCGUUCUCCGUUGUGUUUGGCUUGCCACCUUUUCUUUUUUCCCCUAGUUCUGCUCCACGAGGUGAUUUUUAGGUUUAUUGUGAGAUGGGUAGGUCGAGAUCGAGCACGGAGACAUUGCAAGAUCUCGAGCUGAGAUUUGGCUUGUCUACCCUAUACAAAUGCCAGAUUUGGCAGCAAGUCGCUUAAGGGGUUGUCCUGAGUUAAUACUGUUAUACUGAUCGAAGACGGCGAUGACGAUGUGAGGAUGUAUCCUCCUGCGUCUUGCGGAGAGAUGGUUGGGUUCAAUCCAUACUCAAGUUACUCCAGUUCAUGUGCACCUGCAAUUGAGAAGAUGAUCUAGAACUUCGGCUUGGAGUUGGAGCUUCUAAUCAGUAUCUUGGGAGUUUAAAUGGCUGGAGUACUACGUCAGAAGACAGAUCGAAAGGCCCAAAUGCAUGGAAUUCCGGCAAGAUAUGUCUUUGAAUCUUUUCCUCUCCAGAUGAUUAUUUCUUGUAACUUAACUGAAAUAUGAACUCCGGGAAGGAACUGAAUGCAGGAAAGCUCAAAGUUACUAGCUCUUCUUUCAUAGUUAGCUUGUCACUCAUAGCUGUUUCUUUCUUUAAUGUUGUAUACAUCUAAAAAAAAAUUGCUGUAUGCAUCUACUAUGGAGCUUAAUAGAAUUUCUGGAACCUCCGUUUCCUUGUUUGUA